GAUGAACGCUGGCGGCGUGCCUAAUACAUGCAAGUAGAACGCUGAAGGAGGAGCUUGCUCUUCUGGAUGAGUUGCGAACGGGUGAGUAACGCGUAGGUAACCUGCCUGGUAGCGGGGGAUAACUAUUGGAAACGAUAGCUAAUACCGCAUGACAACAGUUAUUGCAUGAUAACUGUUUAAAAGGGGCAACUGCUCCACUACCAGAUGGACCUGCGUUGUAUUAGCUAGUUGGUGAGGUAACGGCUCACCAAGGCGACGAUACAUAGCCGACCUGAGAGGGUGAUCGGCCACACUGGGACUGAGACACGGCCCAGACGCCUACGGGAGGCAGCAGGAGGGAAUCGUCGGCAAUGGACGGAAGUCUGACCGAGCAACGCCGCGUGAGGGAAGAAGGUUGUCGGAUCGUAAAGCUCUGUUGUAAGAGAAGAACGAGUGUGAGAGUGGAAAGUUCACACUGUGACGGUAUCUGACCAGAAAGGGACGGCUAACUACGUG
rnacentral:rRNA from 1 species